GACGGACGCUGGCGGCGUGCUUAACCCAUGCAAGUCGAACGGUAAGGCCCUUCGGGGUACACGAGUGGCGAACGGGUGAGUAACACGUGGGUGAUCUGUCCUGCACUUCGGGAUAAGCCUGGGAAACUGGGUCUAAUACCGGAUAGGACCACUGCCUGCAUGGGUGGUGGUGGAAAGCUUUUGCGGUGUGGGAUGGGCCCGCGGCCUAUCAGCUUGUUGGUGGGGUGAUGGCCUACCAAGGCGACGACGGGUAGCCGGCCUGAGAGGGUGACCGGCCACACUGGGACUGAGAUGCGGCCCAGACUCCUACGGGAGGCAGCAGUGGGGAAUAUUGCACAAUGGGCGCAAGCCUGAUGCAGCGACGCCGCGUGAGGGAUGACGGCCUUCGGGUUGUAAACCUCUUUCAGCACCGACGAAGCGCAAGUGACGGUAGGUGCAGAAGAAGGACCGGCCAACUACGUGCCAGCCGCCGCAGUAAGAC
rnacentral:rRNA from 1 species